rnacentral:rRNA from 1 species
UACAGAGGUCUCAAGCGUUUGUUCGGAUUCAUUGGGCGUAAAGGGUGCGUAGGCGGCGGGGCAAGUCAGGUGUGAAAUCUCGGGGGCUCAACCCCCGAAACUGCACUUGAUACUGCCUUGCUGAGAGCUCUGGAGAGGAGAUUGGAAUUUACGGUGUAGCAGUGAAAUGCGUAGAUAUCGUAAGGAAGACCAGUGGCGAAGGCGAAUCUCUGGACAGCAGCUGACGCUGAGGCACGAAGGCCAGGGGAGCAAACGGGG